CCUACGGGUGGCAGCAGUCGAGAAUCAUUCACAAUGGGGGAAACCCUGAUGGGGCGACGCCGCGUGGGGGAAUGAAGGUCUGCGGAUUGUAAACCCCUGUCAUGUGGGAGCAAAUUAAAAAGAUAGUACCACAAGAGGAAGAGACGGCGAACCCUGGGCCAGCAGCCGCGGUAAUCCAGAGGUCUCAAGCGUUGUUCGGAACCACUGGGCGUAAAGCGUGCGUCGGCUGUUUCGUAAGUCGUGGGUGAAAGGCGCGGGCUCAACCCGCGGACGGCACAUGAUACUGCGAGACUAGAGUACUGGAGGGGGAACCGGAAUUCUCGGUGUAGCCGUGAACUGCGUAGAUAUCGAGAGGAACACUCGUGGCGAAGGCGGGUUCCUGGACCUUACCUGCCGCUGAGGCACGAAGGCCAGGGGAGCGAAAUGGAUUAGAUACCCGUGUAGUC
rnacentral:rRNA from 1 species